GUACUAUCUUCGUGGAAAUUAGUAAUGACAAGCAAACAAGGGCAGACAUGCUUUGCUAUGUUUCCAAAGGCCAACAAGAACACACGCAUACCAACCAUAAAUGUUUUUGGAACUAAUAAACAGUUGAAGAAGAAUUAUGCGGACAGCAAAGAUGAAGUAAACUCACAAUUGAAUGCAAGAUCAAAAGGAGGAAUAGAAGGGGAAGAUGUCUUUCCAAAUUUACUAUGUCACAUAUUUUCGGACAACUGGGACAGAAAAUUACAAAUAAGGCUCUCAACAUAGAAUAUUUUCUAAGGAUUUAAAAAAUCAUAUUAGGGGACAAAUGGACCAAACAUCUUCUUGAGAAACAAUGAGAAGAGAAUGACAGACAAUAUGUCUGCAGAUGAUCCUAGCAAUAGUCAUGCAAAUCUUGCCAAUAUCCCAAAAGACCUACUCAUAGACAAGCUAUCACCAUCUAUGAUCCCAAAAUUCCUAAAAGGACAGCCAUUGACACAUACCAGUAUGCUGACAACAAAACUACUGCUGAGAAAGCAAAGGUAAGCAAAUAGAGGCUACGAAUCAUCAAAAGCAUUGCGUAAUCUAGUUCAUUAAACUACCUGAAAACAAAUCCUUAUACUUUUGAAAACAUCCAAAGCCUAAAUCUUCUCUACUACCAACUAAUUCAGACCACUUACAUAAACCACCUCCGUUUACAACAGUUCAAGGCUAAUUUUGUCACAUAAAAAGUCACUGAUCUCAAGAGUCUAAAUUCAAUAAAUUAAGCUCUUUCUGUUACCCUGCACCUUGCCUAUGUUAUCCUCCGCACAAAUACAUCCACCAAAUAGACAUCCAUAUAUGCAAAUUAGUAUCACACGCAAAAGUAUUACAUUCAAUUGCACAAACUGCUCACCAAUAAAGAAAAAAGAGAACC
rnacentral:lncRNA from 1 species